GGGUGUAUAGUUCAGGGAAUAGCAUUUGCCUAGCAUGCUGAAGGCUCUGGGUUCAAUCCCUAGUACAUCAA
rnacentral:tRNA from 1 species